GUUUUGGUUUUCGUCUGUUCCUUUCAGUUCCACCUGUCACAUUCUGACAAAGAGCUAUUAGAGCGUGAAGAUCGGAGAGAAUCUCAACAGGAGAUCUUGAGGAGAAUUGCUAAGGAUUUGCCCAUUUACACACGCACAAUGUCUGGAGCUAUCCGCUACUGUGAUCGCUGUCUGCUGCUGAAGCCUGAUCGAUGUCAUCAUUGCUCUGCCUGUGAUAUGUGCAUUUUAAAGAUGGAUCAC